ACUUCAUUUCGUGUUUAGUCUUCGUUGGUUUUGGUUGUGCUUCCAUAUUUCUGUUAAUAUAAUUUAGCUUAUUGUUCAGUUUUAAUAAUUUAAUUGUUUUGUGUGUGUGUGUCUGCGUUCGUGUGUAUGGUAGAGAAGAGCACUACAAAAAGGCAGAAUUUUAGUCAAUGCAGAAAAGUAUUAACAAAGGCAGUCUCCAGAAAGCAGGCUGAGAGGAUAGUACUACAUCUAAUGGCGAAUAGUCCUGGUUUGAAGGAUUCAGAGGCAGAUGUGUCAGUCAGCCAGGUCAGAGACAUUGCGCCCAGGAUCAUGAUGCCAGCUGCACAGGUUGUUCCACCUCUGAGCAUCACUCGACGAAUACUCACAAACAACGCUGAGGUGACGUAAGAGACGUGAAAUGGAUUGGAAAAGAAAGAGAUUCGAUGUUGACGUGAAGAAUGAAUGGUAGAAGAAAGCGAGAAGAUGAUGACGUGAAAUUAGAAGCUUCCAUUGUUUUUCAAGCAUUAUUUUAAAGCUGCCAUUUUAACGGUUUCCCUCGUUUAUUAAAAAGUCUGUAACAGGAAUGCAGAUGACAGAUUUUGCGUCGAUAUAUCCUAUUUAACCGUUUUAUGAACUACUUACAUUAAAUUUAUACUUCCUCUCUCGUAAUUAAAAUUUGAAAUACCUAACUUAUAAAUUGUCAAUUUCAAUCUUGCUAAAUUUAUCUAUGGAAAUAGUUUUAAUUAAAUUACCGUCUUGUUGCUGAAUUUUAAUAUUUGUUUAAGAAUUGAACUGACUUGAAAAUCAUUAAAUUACAAAAUUUAGUUAGCUGUCAGUUUGUAGAUUUAAAUUGGCUGCCUGACUUACUCAAAUAAGUAUCUAAUAUUGAGGAUCUUUUCGUAGACAGACAAGGAAAUAGACGACUGAUUGGUGUUUCUGUCAAAAGAUAUUCAAUUUAUAUAUUUCAAAAAUAUAUUUUUAAUUAACUGGUUACUUGAUUUGCAAUAAGCUGAGGAUUUAAAUGUGCUCACUAUGUUUACUUUAUAUUUUUUAAUAAAAGCAUAAUAUAAUAAUAAUCAAACUUGUUUGUCAAUUAUGGUCUUUUGCCUGAAAAACUGCACCGAGUAUCAAAUUGCCUUGUUUGGUUUUUUUUUAAAAAUUCCACGGAUAAGUUGUUAACUUUUUUGAGGUUAUUCGACGGUUGCUAUCUAUCCGUCUACUACUUUCUCUGUCUACGCUUAAUAUCGACUUAAUUAUUAUCGAUCGCAAGUCUAUAGCAUCUGCAUUCUUAAAUCAAAUUUGACUCUCCAAAAGAUUUCCUAAAGUAAGCCUACUAGGAAUAAUAUUAUUUGAGUUUAUGCUCAUUUUUAACAGUUUUUGUUACCGAGAACAAUCUCAAUAAAACGGUUUUUUUGUAUGUUACUCAGUUUUUACCAAAUUAAUGACAAAAUUCUAAUUUUUGAUAAUAAUUUUCAUUUAUAGUACAAAAUAAAUAUUUCACACCGUUAUUAUCUGGCCACAAUUCUGAAAGCUAUAUAAAUUGUUAAGUUUUAAAACAGCUAUAAUCUAGCAUCUAGAUUAGCAAUCCCUUCUUGACUAUUCUGCCUUCCGGUAGUGGAGUGUCUAAAGACAGGCUUCAACAGGGAAAACCAAUCAAACAGAAAGUAAUUAAUAUAAAUUUAGUCAGUUCAGUUCAGACUUCAGAUCAGAUUUCAGAUUUGUGAACGGAUUUCUAACGGAGUUUGCAUAUACUUACAAAACCAGUCUAAUCUUUCUUUAUAAAUUAAUUUUGUUUUACAUAAAAUCAUAAAUAUGUCAAUCGCAAGGUAUGUAUUGUUGAAAAUGUUUAUUUUUAUUCCUUUUGAUAUUGAUUUGCAUUGUUAGGUGUUGAUAUAAUAUUAAAAUGUAAAAAAAUGAUAUGAGCGUACAGCAUAAUGAAUUUUAUUAUUUUUUAAUUAUAUUUUCAAAAUAUUAGCAUUUUAAUAGUACCGAACAUUUUUACUAUGUUUGUGAUUUAAGUAAGUGUCUAUAAUGUUUUCCACAGAAACGAUGAUUUAUUUACAUAAUUACAACGAUGAAAAAUAAUUAUUAUUAUUUAUCUCAAAUGAUUUUGAAGUCAAUGAUUUAUAACGUUUUUUAACCUUAAACUAUUUAUUUUUAAUUCAAAUCUUGACAUUUUUUAUUAAAUUUAAAAAGAAUAUUUAAAAUGUAUUUAGUAAUAAAUGUAUUUUAAAUAAGAAAAAGAGAAAGGAGAUCUCUAUUGUUAGUGGGGUACGUAGCACCGAAUUAAUAUUUAAUGGUUAAAAAAAAUAUAUAGGACGUAGGCUUGUUACUUUUAAGUUUAAGAAAAUCAAGCCCUCGUACAAUUUAAGUAAGAUUUUUUCAUAAUAUAUUAUAAUUUAUUUGUGUAUUUAUUGAAAUUUUAUCGGAUAUAUAUUUAGCGCACCCGGCAACUUAUGUUAAAUGUUUUAUUGUUAUACAAGAAUUCAAUAUUCUUGUAUUUUUUAUUUGAGCGAUUAUUCUGAACAACAAAGGUCCAUAGUCUUCCCAUAAGUAGAUACUUUGGGCUAUAAACUGCCCAAUGAAAUAAUUUGUACUAAGUGCACGUUGUCUUCCCGACGUUAACUAGGAUUACUUAGGGCUAAUAAUCAAAUGGCUAUCGCAUAUCUUUUGGACCAAAUACUCAUUUGCUAUCUGUUAAAUUUUCUUAGACACGUAUGUAGUUUUUAAGUAAAGAAUAAACUUUAAUUAAAUUUUUAACCGUAAUUAAACCAUUAUUUAAAUUGAGCAUAAUGUAAAAAACUGCUGGAAUAUUUUUUUUAACAAAAUAUAGAGCUUACCUUUCCGUUCAAUUUUAUAAUAAAUUGCCUAUUCAAUUCGUUUAUUCUCUAAAAAGCUAAAAAAUACCCUGUUUACUUAAAUGCACUUAUAGUUACAUUUACAGCUCAGUUUAGCAUUUUUGGCUUUUGUUUAUAUUAUCUAACUAUUUUAAUUAUCAUCUGGUAUUCCUAUAAUUGAGAAAGUCUUAGUUAUAAUUUUUAAAUAGGUAUUAAUGGCGAUAGUUGAUUUGAUUUUUGUUUUGUUUUCCUUAACACAGUUUUAUCAAGCAAUAUAGAUAUAAUGCUAGUUAUCGUAUAUAGGUUGCAAGAGGGCGAGAUAUCCUUGUACUACCACUAAUUUUAACAUCAAUAUAAUAUAAAGUUAGUUAUAAUAUUAGUUUAAGUGUAAUACGCCCUAUAGUAGUGUAAUAUUAAAUUAGUAGGUAAAUCGCCUCCAAAGUUUUCCAAUUAUAAAAUAAGUAAAUAAUGCCUCAAAGUAAAUCUUAUGAAUUUUCUUAUUAAAACUAUUCUUAUUACUCUCCCAAAAAAAUAUUUUGUGUAAUACUGUCUUGUCAGAUAAAAUUGUAAACAUCAAAAUUGCAAUCAAAGAAAUACCUAAAUACUAAAACUAUUGAAUCCUCGUAUUAACUUCUUCUAUCAUUAGGUAAAUUAAGUUGAAUAUUUAAAUGAAUGAACAAAGAUUAAUUUAAAUAAAUAAAAAUACGAAUACAUACAAUAGUCUUAGUUCAGUCUUAGUUAGUCCCAAAGUUUAUGACCUCUUAUUUUCAAGUACCAGUAUCUAAGAAUAUAAUUUCUUUGUAUGAAUUAUGUAGGUAUGUAAUUUUUUUCAUAAGUUUUGAUUGGUCUUUUCAUUUCAAUGAUUUAUGAUUUAUCUUGUUGUUAAUAUAAUUAAUAUUUGUUUAUCAGAUUAUCCCGUUGUAUUGUUCGUUAUGUAUCUUAUUUUAAACAAUACGAGGAUUUAUUAUUACAAUCUGCAAUUUUCAUCACAUUUUUUUGUAAUAUGUUGUUUUUUAAUUAGACGUGUCUUUUUUACAUUAUCAAUAUUUGGUCCCUCUUAGUCUCAAAAUAUUGUAAAAGUAAAAACCUUGAUGAAUCUAGGUAUACAGCCAUAUUUCCAUGGGCGGGAAUCAAAUCCAAGGAUUCUUGGUUUAAAAUCUUGUAAACGGUACCAUAUUUGUAGACAGGUUGAAGGUUCAAAUCGGCAACGUCAGCUCGAUGUUCCACUGCCUGGGAACAUCUGCAACACCAGAGAAAUGAUGCGUUGCCGCCAUUUAAGGAUUUGUUCUUCCGCCCCUUGAAGUACCAGAUAAGUUAAACAUUCUUAAUUUUGUUUUACAGGCAUUCACAUUUAGGACAGAAACUAGUACCAAGAUUUUUGUUAAAAUAAACGCUAAGCUUUUUAAAAAAAAUAUAAAAAAGUAAAAAAAAUUAGAUGUAGGUCAAGAGAAGCUUUCUCAUAUAUUCCAAAAGCAAAUAUUAGAUGUAAGAUUUUUUUGGAAACGUCAUUUUGGCUAAUAGAAUAUAUCAAGUGCAAUAAUAUAAUUAUAGUUAGCUUAGUUAGGACACUUUUCUGCCAUUAGAAUAUUGAGCUAGUUAAUGUAAGAGUCGCGUUAAGUGCUUUAGGAAUAAAAUCCAGCAUCAUGUAUAUCGUUAGGGAUUUUCUUAUUAUAAUUUUAUAUUAUUUACGUACACAUUAUAUUAAUUUAAAACUUAAAGUUAGUUUGUCAGUCACUUUUUAAUACAUACACAUAUUGCCUAUGUGUUAUAUAUUAUAUAACACAUAGGUAAUAUGUGUACAAAACCAAUUUAAAUUUUCGAAAUAGAUAAUUGUCAAUCAGGUUAAAAAUAAUGAAAACAUAAAUAGAAAAGUUAAUUUAUCUUUUUUCUAAAUAUUCUUUUGAAAAAUAUGAAUAACUUCCGACAUUGUUCAGACUUUGCUUUAUAUUUAGUUUACAAUUUAACAAAAAAAAUAUUUUGUGGCAAAAUUUUCAUGAUAAAAAGCAUUCUUAUGGAAUUUAAUUUAAUUUAUAAUAUCCUAAUAAAUAUUCUAAUAUAAUUUACUUGAAUAAAAAUCAUAACACAAUUACGUUUAAAUUAUUAUUAUUGUUAACAAAUUAUCGUGAAAUAGCCGUUAAUAUUCUGUGAUAUUAAUAUUAUAACAGAGUCGUGUCGUAUAUUAAUGAAUGAUGUUCAAUGUAGUAAAUAUUUUAAUAAUAGUUUACAAAUUCAAGAUAAAUCGUAAAAGGCAAAAUGACUUAAGUACAUAACAACAAGUAAUUUAAACAUUUGUUUUAGAAAAUUUAUUAUUUAAAAUAUCACGGUUGGUAUAUUUCUUUCACGCUGUAAAAAUAUCGGUUUUAAAGUAAUGAUUUGAUUAUUAUUUAUUUAUUAUUCCACAAAAUACAUAUUGAAAUUACGCUUAACAUAAUGCAACACAAGCCACAAUUGGCUUUACUGUGCACUAUUAUCAUUAUUAUUUAUUUUUUAAAUAAUUAUUAAUUUAUUUAUUUAAUCAUUUGACGCGUUAUUUAUUAAUAAAAAAUAGUUUUAUCGAGAAAAAUGUUAUGUAUGAUAAGUUGCCAUGAAGACCUCGAUGAUGCUUACUAAAUUAAAAUAAGUAAAUUAAUACUAAUUUAAAAUGGCAGUUAUAUUUAUAAUGUAGUUACAAUAAGCAAAUGAAAAAAAGACAAAAAAAAAUAAAAAAACAUGUUAAAAAAACAUUCCCAAAAAAAAAUUAAAAAAUAAAAAAUACCAAAAAAAUGAUGUGCAGGCAUUCAAAAGCAAUACAAAAUAGUAGAAUAGUUAGACUUUUAAUACUUCAUGAAUUCAAACAUUUAGAGUUAUUGUGUCCUUUGCAUAAAUACAUACUCGUACUUACUCAUACUUCUAGCUAAUAGUUUGUUGUUUAGUUUAUAUGAUACCUUUUGAGCCAAUCACGAAAAAAAAUUACACUAUUAUAAUUAAGUCAGAGAUUGUUUAUCUAAAUAUGCAAUAAUUAAAAAAUUUGUAAUUGUUUCAAUUUUAAAUUAGGAUACAAUAUACUUUUAAAGAAUUCAAUUCAUAUCAUUUGGUUUGGGUACCAAUUUAAUAUUUUCAAUAUAAUGAGUUGCUAUUAUGUUUUGGUGUCGCGAUGUAGGUACAAUAAAUUUGUUAAAAUUAUUUUUUGAUAGUUAUAUCAUUAUUUAUUUUUCAUCUUGAUGAUAAAUAGAUCAUAGGUAUUAUCAGCAUGUAAUAGUUUUAAAACAUCGCUCAUAAAUUAAUCAUACAACUUUUAAAAUCUUUUUUGAAUAGACAAAGUUAAUGUUUUUCAAUUUAAAGUUAUUUUUUUCACAAUGCGUGAUACAACUACUUUAAAGAUUGUUUUAGUUAAUUAUAUAAAUUUGUAGGUUUUAACUACCUCAUCAAAACCACGUUUAGUUUUAGCAUAGUCUCAGUAUUGCUCCUUGACAUUAUGCGUAGAGCAUAUUACUGCCAGUAGAAUAUUCUAAUAUCAUUUUAUACAAUAGGUAGAUAUAAGGAAUGAAAAAAAUAUAAAAACUCCUAACAUUGAAUUCUUUUUGCUACUAUACCGGCAAAGGUACGAGUAAGAAAGACGGCAGCAUCACAAUUAGUUUUAUAAUAAAAGGUCUUGAUUAAAAUCUAAUUUUGUAGUAAUUUCUAAUAAAAAUUUUUACUUAAUUACUAUCGCGAUUAAUUACUAUUUCAGUUUUAGUAGGUUACGAAAUAAGUAAAUUUUCUUUAAUUUACUAUAUAUUUUUUUAUUGAAGAACCGCGUAGUGCAACGGCCGAUCUAGUACCAAAGAAGAAUUUGUUAGCACAAAAAAAUAAUAAAUAUAUCUUUAUUAGUUAUACUUAAAGUGCUUUUCCACUAGUAUAGGAUAAAAUAAUUUAGUAUAAGAAAUUUACAUAAAAUGUACAAGCAAUGUCGAAAUUGUUCACAUACCACAUAUAGUUUUAAUGAUAUAUUUGUAGAAGUAUAUUUAAAAAAAAAAAAAAAAUGUAAAAAAAGUUAAAAAAGUAAAAAAACACAAAAAAAAUAAAAAAGUAAAAAAAAAACACAAAAAAAUUAAAAAAAAAGUAAAAAACAAAAAAAAUAUAAAAGAAAAAAUACAUAAAAAAUGAAAAAAGGAAAAAAUAUACAAAAAAAGAAUGCGAAGAAGAUGUCCAGCAAAUAUUUCUUAUGAGAUUAAGUGAACCGUAUGA